rnacentral:rRNA from 1 species
GUAGGUGGCAAGCGUUGUCCGGAAUUAUUGGGCGUAAAGCGCGCGCAGGCGGUUCUUUAAGUCUGAUGUGAAAGCCCACGGCUCAACCGUGGAGGGUCAUUGGAAACUGGAGGACUUGAGUACAGAAGAGGAAAGCGGAAUUCCACGUGUAGCGGUGAAAUGCGUAGAGAUGUGGAGGAACACCAGUGGCGAAGGCGGCUUUUCUGGUCUGUAACUGACGCUGAGGCGCGAAAGCGUGGGGAGCAAACAGGGAUUAGAUACCCUGGUAGUCCACGCCGUAAACGAUGAGUGCUAAGUGUUAGGGGGUUUCCGCCCCCUUAGUGCUGCAGCUAACGCAUUAAGCACUCCGCCUGGGGAGUACGGCCGCAAGGCUG